rnacentral:snRNA from 1 species
GUGCUUGCCUCAGCAGCACAUACACUAAAAUUGGAAUAAGAAGAUUAGCAUUGCCCCUGUGCAAGGAUGGCACACAAAUUUGUGAAGUGUUCUUUAUUUUU